AGUGAACGCUGGCGGUAGGCCUAACACAUGCAAGUCGAACGGCAGCACAGUAAGAGCUUGCUCUUACGGGUGGCGAGUGGCGGACGGGUGAGGAAUACAUCGGAAUUUACUUUUUCGUGGGGGAUAACGUAGGGAAACUUACGCUAAUACCGCAUACGACCUACGGGUGAAAGCAGGGGAUCUUCGGACCUUGCGCGAUUGAAUGAGCCGAUGUCGGAUUAGCUAGUUGGCGGGGUAAAGGCCCACCAAGGCGACGAUCCGUAGCUGGUCUGAGAGGAUGAUCAGCCACACUGGAACUGAGACACGGUCCAGACUCCUACGGGAGGCAGCAGUGGGGAAUAUUGGACAAUGGGCGCAAGCCUGAUCCAGCCAUACCGCGUGGGUGAAGAAGGCCUUCGGGUUGUAAAGCCCUUUUGUUGGGAAAGAAAAGCAGCAGGUUAAUACCCCGCUGUUCUGACGGUACCCAAAGAAUAAGCACCGGCUAACUUCG
rnacentral:rRNA from 1 species